rnacentral:sRNA from 1 species
GAACAGAAGCCCGGGUCCGAGGACCCGGGCUUCAUCACUGUCUCAACACAGUGUCGGGGUGACA